GGGCUCAUGUGGGAUCACAUACACUAAAACCAGAACAAAAUAGAAAUUAGUGUGGUCCUUGUGGAAGGAUGGUAUGUAAAUUCCUGAAGCAUUUUGGUUUUUU
rnacentral:snRNA from 14 species